rnacentral:rRNA from 1 species
GGAGGGUGCAAGCGUUAUCCGGAUUCACUGGGUUUAAAGGGUGCGUAGGCGGGCAUUUAAGUCAGUGGUGAAAUACCUGAGCUUAACUUGGGAACUGCCAUUGAUACUAUUUGUCUUGAAUGUCGUGGAGGUUAGCGGAAUAUGUCAUGUAGCGGUGAAAUGCUUAGAUAUGACAUAGAACACCUAUUGCGAAGGCAGCUAACUACGCGAAUAUUGACGCUGAGGCACGAAAGCGUGGGGAUCAAACAGGAUUAGAUACCCUGGUAGUCCACGCCCUAAACGAUGAUUACUCGACAUUGGCGAUACACUGUCAGUGUCUGAGCGAAAGCAUUAAGUAAUCCACCUGGGAAGUACGACCGCAAGGUUG